GGCCUCGGAUGCGGGAAAUGCGGAUUGAAAAUCCCCGUGUCGGGGGUUCGAUUCCCUCCCCGGCCACCA
rnacentral:tRNA from 1 species